GGGACCCCAAUCAGCUACCAAUAUCUUUUGGCUCUCUUUCUGCUGUUCCUUUACCAAACAAUUUCGUGUAAUUCGGUGAUAAGCCACUGAGAGUUCAGACAGAGAUUCUUAACCUGAAUCCUAUAACAAACUUCGCUGGAGGAGAAACCCACAGCCUUCACCAGAGUGUCACCCGCAUGCUUCCAGCAUCCUCAGAGGAUGGGGCCAGCCCCAAAAUGCUGUGGGGGCAAGGGCUGGUGUGUCCCUGGACCUGACUCUGCAGCAGGCACUUUUUUCCUUGCCUUCCACUCCCACGUAAAAGCCGGCAGAGGAAAGAGACUGGAAAAGGCUGGGUCACUUCCCUGAGAUGCACAGCUGGACACUUACAAUAGACAUAGCACUGAAUCUCGUCGAUUGCUGUCAGCUACAGGUCCUCCCCAGCCUGAAGAGCCAAACUGGUUACCACAGAGGUUCUCGAGGAAGGAACCCAGUCCAGGAGGUCAGAGUCUUGGUUUCCCAAGAUGGCCGGACUACUGAGUUGCUGUGUGACCUUACACAAGUGAUUCAAACUCUCUGAAUCUUCCAGCAGAGCUGAUAGAGCCACCGAAGCAGAGAAGGAGUGGGGGAGGAGAAGUCUGCAAGUGUGCACUGGACCGUGUCCUAAAGUGCCAGCCAGAUGGCCAUCUGUGCGCUUUGGCCUCCCCAGUCCUGCCAGGGAAGGAAGUAUGAAGCCAAAGCCAGAUGAGAGUGAAGACCUGGCCAACAGCCUCUCUGCAGACCCUGCCAAGCACAUGCCACCCCCUCGGUCAUGUGCACACACACACCUGCACACACACACUCUGCUCAGUCCUUCAGCUGGUCAGCGCUGAUGGCUCUUGUGGGGGGCCUCUGCUCUGUCCCGAUCCACCCAUGCUCACAGUCCCCCCUGCAGAAGCACUAGUAAUGCUCAGAGGACUUUCCAAAGCCCCUACGGAACCCAGGGACUGCUCACCCGUGGCUGUUGGUUAUGUCAGAUAUCGGAGAACCAGCCCCAAAGACAGGCUACUGUUGUGGGAAAGCCCAGAACAUAAGACUGCAAGGUCUGGUUCUUUCUGGAAUCACUGCACUCCCUGGAGAAGGCCACACCCCUUCCUCUUUCAGGCUUUAGCUGCGGCAUCUGUAAAAUGGUGAUCCUAACCCCUGUCCUGCCUGCCUUAUGGAGACAGUGAGGAUUAAAUGUGUGUUAGAAAGGAAAGCUCCCUGUAGGUAAGAAAGUGUUGAGCAGACCUCACAACCAAUGCUUUCCGUAUGUGCUUCCAGGAUUUCAGGGAGAUUUUUCUAUUUUCCAUGGGUGUGAUAUGUCUCCAUACAGCCUGGAGCCUAGUAUUUGUGCAGAUAGUCAGGACUGGAAGAGCUCAGAUGUUGGAGAAUUUACUGCAGGCUGGUCCUGUAUAUUGUAUCGGCUUGUCACCUUCCUCGUUCUGCACACUGGAUCUCUGUUAACAUAGCCCCUGACUCUCACAGAACUUAUUGUCAGCUCUAACCCUGUGCUUGUUUUCUGCACUCUGCUGCUAACAUUCCCAGCCCUUGUAUGGAUAGGCCUGGGGCCUCAUGGCACCCUGUUCCCAGGCCUGCAGAAAUCUGCUCUCUGGGAGCACCUCCACCAGACCUGGCUGACCGUGUCCCUGAGCCAGAAGGGGAUUAGAGGCCCCCACUGAGCUGGAGCUGGAGAUUUGGAACAGAAUACCCCCUCCCUUUCAGCUGGGCAAAAAGGAGAAGGAGCAGAGCCAACAGCCCCAGGGCUUCCUGAAGAAACUUUGCACCAGGAGCCUCCCAUUUCCUGGGCUUCUGCUGAUGGAACAAACUUUCCUCGGCCCUUGGCGGCCCAGAUUCUGGAACAGGCUACUCUGCAGUCAGGCACUGUGUGGGGGAAGGGGUGUCAGCCUGGGAUGGCAAGGACAAAGCCCCAGCCCAUGCUGCUCCCCAAUCUCUCCUUCCACCCAACUUGCUCUGUGGCCUCCAGCAAGGCCCUUCUCUUCCUGGGGCCUUAAUUUCCUCAGCUGUAGAAUGAGUCAGGGAAAUAAGAUUGGUCCGGUGAAAUGUCACAGUUGAGUGGGUCUUACAGAGGCAGAUUCUACAUGGAGAAGGGGUGUGGAGCACCACCAUCUUUUCUGAUUCCACUCUCACUUCCCAGCUCUCACAGCCUUAAAGCAAACUCCAGCUGCCCAGACCUCCACUGUGUGCCCUGGGCUCUGGGCCUUGGCUGAUCUGGUAAAUGCUGCCCCCACACGCCAAAAGGACAGAGGAAACAACUAAGAGAGUCCCCAAGGCCCAAGGCUGGAACAAUUUGAGCAACAAAAUACAUCAUGAGAGUAUCAAAUUAUAACUCCUAGAAUAAAAUAAAAAUCCAGGAGUCCACAUGGUUAUAAAUAAGUACCUGAAUAAAUAAAUAAAUGAAGGCAGCUCUUCCUUACAGAAGAGUUCCAAUUAAUAAAUGUGACAUGAACAAGGGAAAUAAAAAAACACCAUUAGAACACCACAGUAAUAAUUAUUGCAGACAAGACGCACUGAUGUAUGCUAAAAUUAAUGGGUGAAAGUUUGAGGAGAAGCAGCAUGUUCGAAUUGUCUCAAAGUAUCUCCCCCAAGAGAUUUACUAAUUAUAAAGGGGAAAGAAAAUACAGUAAUCUGCAGUGGAGAAACCCAGUAGGUGCCACCUUAAUCAAGUGACCAAGUUAACAUCACCAGUAAUAAGACGUAGCAACAUCACCACACGCCCCGAUAGGAUGCACAGAGAAGACAUUUCAUGUAUAUAGUAUUCUUGCCAAAAAAUGCAUAACAUCAAUUUCAUCAUGGGGGGACAAUCAGACUGAGGGGCAUUCUACAAAAUCACCCAUCAGUACCCUUUCAAAUGUCAAGGUCAUGGACGGCAAGGAUGCUCUGAGGAACCAUCACAGAUUGGAGGGGAUUAAGGAGAAUGACAGCUAAAUGAAACGUGAGAGCCUGGAUUGGAUCCUGGAAUAGUGGAAGGAUAUUAAGAGAAAAACUGGUGAACUCUGAAUCAAGUCUGUAUUUUAGUAACAGUAUUGCCCAAUGUUGUUAAUGUAAUGAUUUUGAUAAAUUAUACAAGAUGCUAACAUUAGGGAAAGCUAGGUGAAGGUGUACAGAAACCCUCUGUGCUAUAUUUGUAACUUUUUAAUUUCAAAUAAAAAGUAAAAAAUAAAACUGUUUCAUUC
rnacentral:lncRNA from 10 species